rnacentral:lncRNA from 1 species
CCAAAGUGCUGGGAUUACAGGCGUGAGCCACCUCGCCUGGCCCAAGCACAUGCCAUUUCAAUGGCCUUGUGCUACACAACUCCCACCCUCCUAUUCUGCUCUCUGUUCCAGGUUCUGGCCAUAUUGGGCUCUUUUUUUUUUUUUUUUUUGGAGACAGAGUCCUGCUCUGUUGGCCAGGAUGGAGUGUGGUGGCGUGAUCUCAGCCCACUGCAACCUCCACCUCCUGGGUUCAAGUGAUUUUAAUGCCUCAGCCUCCUGAGUAGCUGGGAUUACAGGUGCCAGUCAUCAUGCAUGGCUAAUGUUUUGUUUUCAAUUAGCAAUAAUUGCGCCUCGGAUAAACCUCAUUGGCUAUGAUACUGCCACUGCGCAAAGCUAAUGUUUUGUAGUUUUAGUAGAGACAGGGUUUUACCAUGUUGGUCAGACUGGUCUCGAACUCUUGACCUCAGGUGAUCCGCCCGCCUCAGCCUCCCAAAGUGCUGGGAUUACAGGCGUGAGCCACCGGGCCUGGCCCAUACUGGCUCUUGACUCUUCCUUGAACCAGAUUUGCUUCUGCCCCAGCACUCUUUGACUUGUACUUUCUGGCCGGCAUGAUCUUCCCUCAGAGGAUGGCUUAGUUCCCUUGAUUACUCCAAGUCCUCAUCACCAUCUAACACGCUUAUGUUUUACUUAUUUCUUGCCUGUUUCUCCCCACCAUAAGAUCCAAGAAGGUUGGGAUUUCUGUCAUUUUUUUUUGUUCACUGCUAUAUUCUUGGUGGUGUCCACAUGGUAGGUGCUAUUUGUUGACUGAACACGUAGGCAAAUAUUUCCCUGAGUUUGUCACAUGUCUAUGUUUUUGAUGUUGUCUGCCAUGCAACAAUCUUAUUUACAUACUCAAAUCUGUUUAAAAAAAUUUUUGAGACGGAAUCUCACUGUCGCCCAUGCUGGAGUGCAGUGGCGUGAUCUUGGCUCACUGCAACCUCCGCCUUCCGGGUUCAAGUGAUUCUCCUGCCUCAGCCUCCCAAGUAGCUGGGAUUACAGGCGCGCACCACCACACCCGGCUAAUUUUGUAUUUUUAGUAGAGACGGGGUUUCACCAUUUUGGCCAGGCUGGUCCUGAACUCCUGACCUCCGGUGAUCUGCUUGCCUUGGUCUCCCAAAGUGCUGGAAUUACAGGCGUGAGCCACCGCUCCCGGACUAAAAUUUUUUUUAAGGCUCAACUUUUGCUUCCUGCAGAAUUAAUUUUCUCGUUUAUUAAACUGUUUAUUAUGAAAACCUUCAACAUACAAUAACGUCAUUCCAUUAUUUCUUGACUGGGAAUUCCAUCAGGGCAGAGGCCUUUGAUUUUUCACCGGCUGCCAGGACCUCAGCAACCCCAGGGAAUGUUUCCAAAGAAUCAAUUAAUGGCACGAGGGCUUCUCCGGGGCCUGCCUCAGGUCCCCUCGCGGUGCUCAGCACAGUCCUGGGAGCCGUUUGCCGACUCAAGGCGCCUGUCCUGGUUUCUCCCGCCAGGCCCGGCCUUCCCCCGUACA